AUCCAUCGACUCCGCCAUCGCCCUUCAUCGCUCGAUUCCUCGCCAUCUGCGCUGAGUAGGAAUCUUUCCAAAUCCCCGAUGCCCUUGACGUGGCUCCGGUGGUAGCGCCACUGGCCCUUCCGGCCGUAUUCCGGCGAAGCAUCCGACCUUAUAUCAACGCGGAUCCAUCCGGCCCACGCUUGCUGACCAGCCUCCGAGCUACAGCUCCGAUGUCCUGACCUGCUCCACCACCGGAGGCACGCUGCAGGGGGAGACCUGAUCCAGUGGUCCUCCUUGACGGAGGCCAAUGGCCCCUGCCCCUCGACCUGCUCCUCGCCAGGGGAGCCUAGCAGGUUCCCGUCCAAGGCUGUCCUUAUGCGUUCGUUGUCUUUUGCAUCCUGAUUCCUGAUACUGCGGUAGUUGCUUGCAUUGCUGGGCUCAACUCUGAACCAUCGUCGCAAAUUACUUUAAGGGAAUCUACUCGUUUUGCUUUCAAUUGAGUGAUCAGUACGAGAGUGCUGAGACUCCUACUAGGAGCACACCCGAUCGGUCCACAGGCUGGCUUUUCAGAGGAAUUCGCUAGCAGUAUUGCCUCUGUUAGAGGCUACCCUCAUCUCUCUUGAUCUGAGAAAUUUGUUGCAACCAGACCUACCGGUACAUACUAGCUUCAAUUUUAUCAGUAGCGUCGGCUGGAGUUUCUAUUUUCGGAUUAAUAGAGAGCAAAUUUUGGACGAGUUACGUCAAAUUCUGAGGCAUUAUCAAUUUUUCAGUAGUGUAGUACUACCUGUUGCUCAUGGAUAUAGUAUUUUGCCUGUGCAUGAUGGCGGACAAGUUAUGGCUGAGCGGUUCUACAAAAAUAUCAUGGACUCUGAUCAGGCAUGAGGUCAGUUAGCACUUUACAACCGUGGUGCCUCUAAAACAUGGGCAGAGGAUAAGAUGUAAGAUGGUCUCAAGCUUCGUGUGGGCUAAAUUUUGAGUCCGCUAUGGAUAUCACAUCUAAUUUUGAUGGGCUUAAACCAGUCAAUAUAUGGUCGCCGCCUGCGGCAGCGAUCCCGGCCAGCUGUGGUGAAACCCUCUACGUUCUUGUGAACCUCAUGCAUGGUGUGCCGCUCCGGACUUGGCCGACCGCCAUAUACUGCUAGGAGUCUUACAAGUCUAGCUUGCUUCUCCGCUACAGAAUCGUUGAAAAAAAGUGUCCUGAGUUUUACAAGUUCAGCACUCCAGCCUGCUUUUCCAUUAGAGAUUGCUGAAGAGAAGUGUCGUGUGGAUGAUCAAGAGUCUCUAUGUUGCAUGACCGGUGGAUAUCUGAUAUCAAGUAUAGUGUGGCCAGUUUCACAAUAUUCAAAGAUAUUUUUUUUGAAACAAGGCAAAAGCUUUGCCUUUCAUUGAUAUAGGAGAAAAGAGUUGGCCCGUUUAUGAGGAAAACUGGCCAAAAACCGUUACAACACGACACCACACGCCAGCCCCGAGGCUGCGCUCCACACGGGUCGACGACCAACCAGGUCGA